CCAGAACAUCUUUUUGGUGCCCAAGUUUAGUCCUAAGCCUGAGAAUCAUCUCUCUUUAGACCUCCAUGGCUGAACCAGAAUGAUGACUUUCAUGAUAGACUACCUGCACUUCAUCGUAACACAAAUUAAACCCUAGAUACUCUGUCUGGAAUGGAUGUAUGGAGAUUUUUAUUUUUUCCUUUCUUAAUAUGUUUAUGUCUAACUUGAGGGGGCAUGUGAAGAAGGAAAGACAACUGCUUAGAUGCUGUAUUAACCUUUACAUCACAAUUUGAUGAUAAUUGUGUAACUGAUCUGAUAGAUGCCCUUGAAUAUCUAUUUGGGAUUAUUCAACUCCCCCCUCUCUUUCUACCCAUGGGCAAUUUAUCUCAGAUUUAGCUGUUUUUUUUUUUUUUUAAUAUAGUUUUGAGUGAGGUAUUCUAGUUUCUUAGAUCUCCUCUGAUCCUCACCCCUCCCCUCUCUCUUUUCACACAGUAUAAUUUAACAGAACACGCAGGAACGUGUCUCAGUGCCCCAGCAGCAUGCUGUCUAUCCAAGCGGCUCACAUAAGUCCCUUACAUGUUACCUGUGGGUUUUCAAGAUGUUCCGGUCUCUAUGUCAGGGUAGCCUCCACAGUGCCUCCAGUUAUCCUGUGGUUCUUAAGGUUAAUGAUUGCAAAUGAAAUAAAUCCCAAAGCCCAUCACUGUCAAUAUUGCUGGUUUGGACACGAGAAAGGAAAACAGUGGAGUCAACACCAAAUUUUAUUUCUAGGACUUAAAGAUGGAUUGUUCAACACAUCUUUAAAAUUAUUACAAUAAAGUUGCUUGGGAAUGACCAUAGUCUUUUGUUACAGGCAGACUAGACAUGAUGAGUUUUAGGAUAUAUAUGUUAACAUAUGUAUAUUAUAUAUAAUAACAUAUAUAUGUAUGUUUAUGUUAUCAGAGCAGGUAAUGUUGGCCUGAGGCUGCAGGGCCCUCUAAUUGUCUCACAAUGCCCUAGAAAAGUGAUCUUUUGCACAGGAUUCUUCUGAUUACUCUAAAAAAUGAAUUCUUGGGCCAUCAUCUCUUACUUUCUGACUUAGAUGUCUUUUAGGCCAUUUUUAAAUAAUGUGGUCUGACUUUUAUGUUUGUUUAAGUGGAACAUGUUUGCAUUGUUACUGGGAGUUCAUUUAAUUUUUCCAAAGGGUAAUUGAAUUAUCCUGAAGUUGAAUGCAUGUUUUAUGCACAGCAGUGUAUUAACUUGUAAGGUGGCAAUUGAGGGAAUCACUAAGAAUAAAACAUUUCCUCCAAGCAUCCUAAGUAUUUUGGGAACUUAAAAUGUGAAUUUUGAUCACAGAUAUUCUUUGUAGACAGCUGACUGACUUAAUUGGUUGCACCUGACAGGUAUGCCUAUAUUCAGAACCAUUUAGAAGUAAAUGUGCAAAUUAAAUGAUUGGAGGGAAAUAUGUGUGAAUGUUAAUGCUGUUAUUACAUGGCACCCACUCUAGGAGGUCCGGACAAGUAACCAAUGCUGUUAUUACAUGGCACCCACUCCAGGAGAUGUAAACAAGUGACCAUGGGUAUAUCCUUCUGGAAACUAACAAAUAAUUUCCCAACUCAGGUAAAUUAGAGCCACUAUUAAGUAAUUUGGGUCACUUUUAUGUCUGUUAAUAUAAGUUAAGAAAACAAUAGAUUUUAAUAUUCCAAAGGUUGUGCUUUUUCCCAAGGUGGCAGGUUUUUACUGGAGCAAGAUACUUUACCUGCUAAUAAUGUUUUUCUCAAUGCAAAGAUAAGAUAACUUUAGAUAAUCUUGCUGACCAUGUACGUCUCAUCAUCAGUGGAGGAGGUCGCAAAGGGCAAAGCCAUGUGUCUUAAAAUUCUUAAAAUUCUCAUCCACCCAUCUCUGUCUCACAGCUCUCAUCCAUCAUCUCUACUUGCAUCAGGUAUCACUGCCAUAGCACUUUAAAGGUUUUGCUUUCCUUUUUAGUAAGUGAACAGUUUGUAAACCGAUUGUUGUUUUUCUAUUUAUCUUGUUAUGAUAGAUCUAUUUGACUACCUGACAAUUCUGCUUACCCAGAUGUUUUAGUUUCCAAGCCCAUAAUUUUUCUUUUCGUACAGCUAAAAUUGAUGAUAAUUAAAUGUCAUAAAGUUUGAGAACACAUCAAAACAGGAACUUCAAUUGGGUGGAAAAUGAAGAAACAUAAGAGUAUAAGAAGCCAGUAAGCUUGCAGACAUUUGUGAAGAGAAUUCUGGAGUCGGUACUGGAAAUUUAGCCCUUCAACGACUAGCUGAUCUUUCAGUGCUUUGUGUUGGGCCUUUGGUUUCCUGUGCUUCUCAGUGACAGCAAAAAUAAUCAGGCUGAAGAGCAGAGACAACCAGAAGUGUCAGCUCAGUGUGAGAUGAUUGAUGACAGAGAGGAUCCGACCCUCUUAAAAAUGGAUUUGGUGCAGUAAUUUAAAUAGUUUAGAACAUUUGAAAACAACUGAUGAAUGGAUCUAUGUAUAUUUCAAAGAGGAAAUACCUUGAAAAAUUGCAGGACUCAGAUGAAUAAAUAAAAAUUCAUUACAAUAUCAUUAGUUUAAAGGAUAGUUGUUUAUAAUUUUGUUAAUUAAACUAUGUGAAUUCUCUUCUAACAUAUGGUUUAAAUGGAAGAGCACACUGCACAAUUCCAGUUUCUGUGAAAUAUUUUUCUGUGUAAAGAAAUAUAAUGGCAUAGUUAUGUCCUUGAGGUGUCUUCCAUCGAGGAUAGACAUCUUGAUAUGAUUCCCAUUGAUGGAACAUAAAAGCAAUAAAAAUUUUUUUAAAACAAGAUCUUAAAGUUUAUUUACAGGCAAAAUUACAGGAACCAGCUAAUCUUGACAUCAUUCACAUUGAUUGAUUAAUAUCUACACAGUUGAUUGCCUUUUUGAUAUUCCAUGUUGAUUUUUAUCUGGAUAGUAUGCUCCAUUAAAUACCUUUAUUGCAUUUAAAAGUAUACAGGGCUGAAGCUGUAGUUUGUUUGGUAGAAUGCUUGCCCCCUACACUGGGUUACAGCCCAAGAAUAGCAUAAAACUUGGUAUGAUGGCACAUACCUCUAAUUCCAACACUCUAGAAGUGGAUAGAGGCAGGGGUACCAGAAAUACAAAGUCAUUCUUUGCUACAUAGAAGUUUCAAGGCCAUCUGGGGCUACAUGAGACUGACAAAAUAAAACAAAACCAACCAACCAACCUAACAACAAAAACCUACAAAACGGUGAAGCCAUUAAAUUCAUGGUUGUAGAGGUUUCCAUUUUAUCUUGACUCAAGAUAGAACUAUUUAUGGCCAAUCUCUAGAAAUGAAUUUGCCCCAGAACAUCUGUUUUACACAAUCAUGCAAAAACAGAGGUUUUUGUAAAGCACAGCUUUAAAUCUAGCCCUAAUCCUAACUAUCUUACAUUAUCAGACUGUAUUUCCAACUUUGAGGUCAAUGUUUUCCAGUUUUUUCUCUAAAAUUAGGGACUUAGACGUUUGUGGACCCAGCAGAACAGUAAUAAUCAUUUUGAUCUAGCCUCUAAAACAGGUGUCAUUUUGAUAAAUGGUCCUAAUUAAGUUGAGGUCUCAGGUAGGAAGCCGAUUCAGUUAAUGGACUGACACCAGGUUGGCCAUGGCCAGACAAGGACAGAUGUCACAGUAGGGCAGAUGCAGUACUUUGUUACCUCAGUCAAGUCUCCAAGCUGCAUCUCCCAUAGUUUGAUCAAAGGACCUCAGUGCUGAGACUCCAUGGCUUGAAUGUGAAUUUAUUUGAGGGUUACAGGAUGGAUUGCAGUUAUGGAAAUUUCAGCUUUCAGGCCAUUAAGAAGACCUGAUCUCCAUUUUACAGUGAGAGACAAGUACAUAAAAAUGAUUAAUUAGCCAAGAAGCUUAUUGUUUCCAAUCCAUGAUUCAUAUCCCUUCUGCACAACAUGGGUUUAAACUGCUGGAGACAAAGCUCUUUAAUGUCUUCUUACAUUAAUUUCAAUAGUGAUUGUUUUGGUAAGGAGCAAGCAGCAUGCUCUCUCCCUGCUUUUCCCAUAAUUGAAAAUACUUUUUUUUUUUUUUUAUCAUUCAAUGACACAGGGACACAAUCUUCUCUUUUUAAUCACCAUUUCAUGGCACUACAUUAUUCCAUGGAUAGCUCUAGUAUUGGCUAUGAUAAGACUAUGACCCCCACUUCCCCUCACUUAAAAACAAAGAAGGGGAGGUAUGCAGAAAAAUAACUGAAGUCAAUUGCAUCAACUUUCCUAAUGUUGUGUGGUUGGCAACCUUCUUCCGUAAAGGAUCAAGCAGGGCAUUUUUCAGGUUUAGCAGGCCAUAUGCUCUCUCUCACAUCUAUUUAUUUCUGUGGCUGUGAUGUGAAAGCAGCCAUAGAAAAAAAAUCAUACACACCGGGCUAUGGAUGUGCUCCAUUACAACUUUGUAGUGUGUGAGACUUACAAUUCCAAAUACUUUCACAGUCCAAGAAUAUUCUUAUUCUUCUUAUUAAAUUUUUCAUGUAAAAACAUAUUUAGCAUGACCAUACAAAGACAGUAGCCUGGCAUUAACCCAUGGCUAUAGUUUGUAAUUUCUCAGUUCUAAUACACAGGAAGCUCUACUAAGUCAUAAAGCAUUGUCCUUGUUUUUCAAGGAAAAAAAUUAUUAAAUGCUAGACCCCAAAUCAUACCAAAUCUCUGAGAAACUCCAGAAAGAAGUAGAAGAAAAUCAAGGAACAUGGGGGGUGUGGGUAUACUUCAACUGUGGUAGGAAGAAACCUGAGAAAGCAGUGGUCUCUAGGUCCACACAGUGUGGGCAAAAACUGCAGAGGAUGCCUUGUGAAUUUAGGAAAUUUCAGGUUACAUCCGGGAAACAAAAGGCUGAGCCAUUUCAAGAUGUAGUUUUGUUCUUUUAUAUAACCCCAAAUAUUUUCAAGGCAAAAUUAAGUGUUGGCUCAAUUUGUGUGCCUCAACAUAUGCUGUGGCAUCCAGACAAGGUACUUACUUGUUUUCCUCUGAUUUUGGGAGUCCUGUGAUUUUGAUGUUGGACAGGAAAAUUGAAAUUCUCUGAAAAAGCCUACCUACGUUCAGUGUUUUAAUGUAUUAGAAGUGUAUGGGCUUGAAGAUGCAGCUCAGGUGGUAGAGGCCCAUCAUGCAUGAUAAUGACAGCAGAGAGUGCAGCCCACCCAAAGAGUCUGCAAGGCUGGCUGGUGGGUUAGAACCCUGUGAUUGUGGAGAAUUGGAAUGUUGCAUCCAGUGUGGUUGGUACUUGAUCUGGCUAGGAUGGUGAGGUGAUGAAGAAAGGACAGACCUGCAGAAGUACACAUGGAAAAGCUGGGUUCAGGUGGUGGAGGGGAGCCAACUACGCAGCAACCUGGAACAUCAGCAGUUUUUUUAGGUACAGGGGAAAGGUCACUGGUCACAGUGGGAGGCGCCUGGAGGUAAGCAGUCACUGUUCACAGUGGGAGGCGCCUGGAGGUGAGCAGUCUCUGUUCACAGUGGGAGGCGCCUGGAGGUGAGCAGUCACUGUUCACAGUGGGAGGUGCCUGGAGGUGAGCAGUCACUGUUCACAGUGGGAGGCGCCUGGAGGUGAGCAGCCACUGUUCACAGUGGGAGGCGCCUGGAGGUGAGCAGUCUCUGGUCACAGUGGGAGGCGCCUGGAGGUGAGCAGUCUCAGGCUGUGAAACUAGGAGGGUGAGGCUGAAGCUGCUAGUUUUUCACACACUGGUCAACUGUUCAUAAGUCUCUCUACUUGGACCAGGAGAAGGCUUUGCCAUUUUGAGCCUGACCUGAGGAAGGCUUUGCCGAUUCCCCACAGGUCUGAGGCCUUGGCCCUUGGCCCUUGGCUCAUGUUAAACAAUCCAUGUGCACACAGGACUUCACUUGCUCAGGACUUUGCUCUUUCCCUACAGUUUGAGGUUCAGAGACAUUAUCUUGGGUUGUCUUUAGGUUCCUUAGUAGUCAUUCACUGCCUACCCUUGCAUCUAACCAAGCAUCUUUCUGACUAUGAGUUGAAACCCAUGUGCACAGACUACUGGCUUUUACUAACACAAAUCUUAAAUGUCAUUAAAUAGAACCUGAAACCUAUAGCAGGGAUUUCUCCAAUUUUUUGUAACUAGAGCAAUGGCAUUCCCACCAAUGUAUCUGAAAAUGUCUUGAUUUAUGGAUUAUUUUGUUCUACAACCAUAAAACCACAAUGAAGUCAUCUACUUGUGGGAAUAUGGUAUUUGGACAACUUGAAUCUGUAUCCUUGGCUAUCGGGACUCAUAUUUGAUGCUGAGAUAAAUUAUCUCAUAUUCCAUUUGAGAGCAGAGCUGUGUUUGAAGUUGACAAUGAGUCUGGGAGAAUAAGCAAGUCUUGCUGGAGAGGACAAAGAGAGAGAACAGGCCCUUGAUAAGGAAGAAUUUAUAUAGGGCAGUGUAGAACUCAGUACAGAUGGGUAAGAAAACACUGGAUGUGAGUGAAGAAGUCUGUGUUCUGAGAUACCAGCAGAAGGGUUUGGAAAGAAAGAGGAAGUGAGCAGGGUGCUUCACAAGGGCCUGGAGAAAAGGAUGAUUGUGGAGGAUUGAUCAUAGGGGAACAGAGAGAAUCAAGAGGAAGGGGAGAACAGAUGAAAACAAGAGAAGCAAUUGGUUCCUAGAGAUGACCAUCUCUGGGCAGGGCUUGAAGAAGAGGACUCCCAAGAUGGCUUAGUGGGUAUAGACACUUAACUCUAAGCCUGAUGACUUGAGUAUCAUCCCUGGAACUUCCAUCAUAUAAGGAAAGGACAGACACACAUAAGUUAUUCUUUGACUGCCACAUACCUGCUAUGGAAUGUGUUUGCACAUAGACACAUAAAACAAAUACAUGUGUACAUACAUAAAUGUUACUUUUUAAAGAAGAUGUCAGCAAGGAGUAGUGUAUGGAUAAUAUUAUGGGGUCUUGGUGGUUUUAACCAAGGCUUGUAGAAAAAUUGUUUGGAAGGAAAAUGGCAAAUUUGUUCUCAGGGUGAUGUGUUGAGGUUUGCAAGACCAGUGUCUUUUCUACUGUGGAGUCAGUCAGCCAAAAAGGAGAUUUGUGUAUUUUGUGUAUACCAAACAAGAAACCAUUAAAGCUUUAAUUCCAUGGUUUUGUGAGCAUGCUAACCACUCAUUUUGAAUGUCGAUGUAGGCGAAUCUGUUGCUUGAUUGAUACAUCUGUUUUUCUUUUAUAAAGCAUUGGAUUUUGUUCAGUGAAUCUGCCUCCUCUAAUUGUGCUAUGGAAAUUUUUAUUUUUCCUACAAAAUGGAAAAUAAAAUAACAACAAAAAAUUAAGAGAGAAUAAGGUCUAAAUUCUUCUCUCAGUGAGACUACAGUGAGGGCAACAAGAGAAGUAUUCUACCCAGGUAAGUGUCAUGUUUUUCUUGAAGCUAUGUAACAUACCACAUGCAAAAGGGCUGUCAUGUCUAUCAGGAUGGGUAGGAAAUUACAAUGUUGUAAUAUUGGUUCUUUGUUCUUUUUAUUCUUUUAGCGUUGUGUAGCAGCUAUUACUGUCUUAUUGAAAGCAAAAACCAG